GUUUAAGUGUGCCGCACAGGAGUACUCGUUUAAAACUUGUGUGAGUUUAGGUUGCGUGAGUCUCAGAUGCCAUCUUACCUUUGUUAUUUUUAGGAUGUUCACGUCCCGGUAUGCCCACUCUGUAAUACGCCCAUCCCAGUAAAAAAGGGCCAGAUACCAGACGUGGUGGUUGGUGAUCACAUUGACAGAGACUGUGACUCUCACCCUGGGAAGAAGAAAGAGAAGAUUUUUACAUACCGUUGCUCAAAAGAGGGCUGCAAGAAGAAAGAGAUGCUGCAGAUGGUAUGUGCCCAAUGUCACGGCAACUUCUGUAUCCAGCACAGACACCCUUUGGACCACAGCUGCAGACACGGGAGUCGCCCCACCAUCAAAGCUGGGUGAGAAGAGACUCCGCUGCGAUGGCUCAGAGCACGCAGUAGCAUGCGUGGAAGCAGCUUACACUCUAGUGGGAAGUGGAGCCCCAUUGAGCACCAUCCCACACUGGCUGCUGAUCUUGUUUGUUGAGGGAGAUGGGACUAUAAUAAAAUUGAAUGCUGAAGUUG
rnacentral:sRNA from 1 species